UUAGGAAAUACCCAGUGGUGAUGUAAGCUUGGAGCCAGACUAUAAAUUGGGACAGCUGAGCUUGCAGAAUCCAGACAACCAAACUCCAUCAAUCAAGAGGAACUUAAUCCAGGGAGGCAUGUAGAAGAGCCUAUUUACAUCAUUAACUUGCCAACUUUGUGUAUAUACAUGUGCAGACACGCAUGCAUAAUAUACCAUAAGGCAGCAUAACUGAUAGUGGACCUUAAGGGUUCUUCUGCUCACUGGGUCAGAAGCAUCCGAUUUCCUGUCAUCGGUUGCGGUUCAGCCAUGUUAAUACUGAAAGUAUAAGAAUAUCAUAAUCCCAGAGUGAUAUAAAGACCUUUCCAAGGAAGAUGAGAUACCCGGAGGCUGUGAAGGAGAAGUCUGAAGGAUUUGAACGCGUUCAAAUGAAAACCUUUGGUUCAGCAAAACACCAGAAACAAAUUCAAAAGAUAAAAUACACUCCGGAGAAGCCCAUUCUCUCAACGCAUCUGACAGUUCACAAAGAGCAACUGCAGUCCAACUUAAAAAAUAAAGAAAAUGGUAGGAAAAUGGGCAACAUGCACUGAGGCAAUAUAUAAGAAGAAGGAAUGCGCAAUUAAUCAACAAAAGCCUGCUCUUUCCUAACGAGUGAAGAUACAAGCUUAGUAAAUAUUAAAAUUUAUUGAAGAUAAAAAUGGACACUUCCGGCCAUAUAUAAAAGCAUUGUUGGUAAGAGAGUGGGGUAAUUGACAUGCUCCUGGGAAAUAAUACGCAUUCAGACAACCUCUAAUGAGUGAAUCCACUGGGGGUAUCCACUAGGAAUAGAAAACGACCACCAAUGCCCAAGUUUGUGGUCCAGAAUUUGAGCAGCGAUCUAACAAAGUAGAGUCUCCCCCUGUGUCAUGGGCCCCACUUCUUAAGCAAAGAAGAAUGCCUCAUUUUGGUAACUCACCCAAAUAAACAGAAAUUUUUUUUGAUAAUCUUAUCGCAUUUAUUUGGUUAAGUCUGAGGCAGAAUAUUUUUCUCCUUUGUAUCUUUGUUUUGUUUUGUUUUAAUCCUUGAAGUUUAUUACCAAACUACAUCUUGGUGUUUCUUCAGGAUGUGAACAGGCCUUUCUAUUCUCAAUUAAGUGUUUCUUUCCUUUAAUUCAGGAAUCUUCUAAUCAUGUAUUUUAAUUUCUUUUUCUGUCAUCCCUCCCCACGCCAUAAGCUACCAGUCACUAUACAUGUUGGAGCUCUCUUUAUUGUGCCAUAGAUCUCUGAUGUCAUGUCUUUAGUCAUUAUUUUGUGUCAGAAAUUUUUGUUCUUCCGGGGACAUCUGGCAAUAUCUAGAGACAUGCUACUGGCACCUAUAGAAAUGCUAGUGACUUAUUAUGGGUAGAGGCUAAAGAUGCUGCUAAAUAUCCUACAAUGCCCAGGACAGCCACUGCCACAACAAAGAAUUAUGCAGUCCACAAUGUCCAUAGUGCUAAGGAGAAGAAACCCUGUCCUAGGGUCAAGGUUGGAUGCUGACAAGACUAAUUUCAAGUGAUUUCAAACGAUUGUGGGGAAAAUACCCAGAAGUUGACAGGAGCAAUAUGUAGAUAUUUCCUUCUGUAAAUUAUAUUUCCCUAAUGCUAAUGCUGGAGCAUUUGGAAACACGUGUAUAAAUAU
rnacentral:lncRNA from 10 species